rnacentral:lncRNA from 1 species
CUGGCAGGGAACUGGUCACCUCAGCAGCUGAACUCCUCCUCCAGCCCUGCGGCUCCCUCCUCUCCAACAGGGACCCUCCUGAUGCACAGACUUACUCUUGGAGAGGCUCCUCCCAAAAGUCACCCAGCUGAUUUUCAUCCACUUGGCUCCCCAAGUUGCUGCUCGACCGCUCUCUGACCUGGAUUCACUGAGGACACAUCAGGGCCUUUGCCACGGGGUCCAUGGAGUGGCCGGAGCCCGGGGCUGGUCUAGUUGGAUCCUGGGUGAAGACUCAGGCCUUGCUCAAGAAGGGAGACCACCCAUAUGUGCUGUCCCAUGUUUCCAGGGAGGAGGCUGGAAGUCCAAGAUCAAGGUCCUGGUAGGUUUGGCUUCUGGUGAGGGCUCUCUCCAUGGCCAGGAGCUUCUUCCACUCCUGGGCACAGAUGGGCCCUGUUAGACUGUUGCCUUGCUCCCAAUGAAUCAUGCCCCCUCCCACUGCCUCUGGGGUUGUGUCUAUGAUGUCCUCUUCCUGGGGACAAAUGCAGCUUCAGCUGCUAUAGGCUGGGACUGUGGCCCUCCCUGCACCAGUCCCAGGGCCCAGCUUCCCCAGGCCACUAGCACUGCUCCAGGAACAGUGUCCAAGUCAGUCCCGACUGCUAAUAGAAUCCCACGGACUGAGUGGCUUCAGGAACAGGAAUUUAUUUCUCACAGUUCUGGAAGUCCAAGAUCAGGGUGCUGGCAGAUUUGGCUCCUGGUAAGGGUUCUCUUCAGGCUCGCAGACAGCUGCCUUCUUGCUGUAACCUCACAUGGUGGAGAGAAAACUCUGGUGUCUCUUCCUUUUCUUAUAACGGCACUAAUUCCAUCGUGGAUCCCCCAC